AAGGUUUGAUUUAGGAUUUAGGAUUUGGUUUAUGAUUUAAUUAGGGUUUGAUUUAGAGUUAGGAUUUGGAUAGGAUUUAAUUUAGAAUUUAGGAUUUGGUUAGGAUUUGAUUUAGGAUUUGAAUUUGGUUAGGAUUUGGUUUAGGAUCUAGGAUUUGGUUUAAGGUUGGUUAGGAUUUGAUUUAGGAUUUAGGAUUUGAUUAGGAUUUGAUUUAAGAUUAGAAUUUGAUUAGGAUUUGAUUUAGAGUUUAGGAUUUGGUUUAGAGUUAGUUAAGAUUUGAUUUAGGAUUUAGGAUUUAGGAUUUA
rnacentral:lncRNA from 1 species